UCGACCUAUGUGCAAGAGGGUGGGGGAGAACGGGGGGUGGUAGCUGUAGUGGGGAUGACUGGGGGUAAGGCGGUGGGAGGCGGCUUUGAGAGUCGGGUGUGAAAUCCCCAGGCUUAACCUGGGAACUGCAUUGGAGACUGCAUUGGUAGAGUAGGGGAGAGGGAAGUGGAAUUUCCGGUGUAGCGGUGAAAUGCGUAGAUAUCGGAAGGAACAUCAGUGGCGAAAGCGACUUCCUGGACCAAUACUGACGCUCAUGUGCGAAAGCGUGGGGAGCAAACAGGAUUAGAUACCCGAGUAGUC
rnacentral:rRNA from 1 species